rnacentral:rRNA from 1 species
CCUACGGGGGGCAGCAGUGGGGAAUAUUGCGCAAUGGGGGCAACCCUGACGCAGCAACGCCGCGUGAUUGAAGAAGGCCUUCGGGUUGUAAAGAUCUUUGAUUGGGGAUGAAAACAAUGACGGUACCCAAAGAGCAAGCCCCGGCUAACUACGUGCCAGCAGCCGCGGUAAUACGUAGGGGGCAAGCGUUAUCCGGAUUGACUGGGUGUAAAGGGUGCGUAGGUGGGUUAGUAAGUUGGGGGUGUAAUUCCGGGGCUUAACCCCGGAGCUGCUGUCAAAACUGCUAGUCUAGAGUGAAGGAGAGGCAAGCGGAAUUCGUGGUGUAGCGGUGAAAUGCGUAGAUAUCAGGAGGAACACC